UAUUCCCCACUGCUGCCUCCCGUAGGAGUCUGGGCCGUGUCUCAGUCCCAAUGUGGCCGUUCAACCUCUCAGUCCGGCUACCGAUCGUCGCCUUGGUGGGCCGUUACCCCGCCAACAAGCUAAUCGGACGCGAGUCCAUCUCUAAGCGAUAAAUCUUUGAUAUCAAAGUCAUGCGGCUUCAAUAUGUUAUGCGGUAUUAGCGAUCUUUUCAGAACGUUAUUCCCCUCUUAGAGGCAGGUUACUCACGCGUUACUCACCCGUCCGCCACUAAGUUAAAAAUCCGUCAUCCCAAAGGAAUCCGUCAAAAUAACUCCGUUCGACUUGCAUGUGUUAGGCACGCCGCCAGCGUUCAUCCUGAGCCAA
rnacentral:rRNA from 1 species